CCCGCACAAGCAGCGGAGCGUGUUGGUUUAAUUCGAUGUUACACGAAGACCUUUACCAGGGUUUGACAUGCAAGUGGUAGGAAGCCGAAAGGUGACCGACCCUUCGGGGAGCUUGCACAGGUGCUGCAUGGCUGUCGUCAGCUCGUGUCGUGAGAUGUUCGGUUAAGUCCGCUAACGAGCGCAACCCUCGCUGUGUGUUAUAUGUGUCACACGGGACUGCCGGUCUUAAGCCGGAGGAAGGUGGGGAUGAUGUCAAGUCAGCAUGGCCUUUAUAUCCAGGGCUACACACACGCUACAAUGGUCAGUACAAUGGGUUGCCAAGCCGCGAGGCGGAGCCAAUCCUAAAAAGCUGGCCUCAGUUCAGAUUGCAGUCUGAAACUCGACUGCAUGAAGUCGGAGUUGCUAGUAAACGCAGGUCAGCUAUACUGCGUUGAAUACGUUCCCGGGGCUU
rnacentral:rRNA from 1 species